rnacentral:rRNA from 1 species
GUGCCAGCCGCCGCGGUAAUACCGGCAGCCCGAGUGAUGGCCGAUCUUAUUGGGCCUAAAGCGUCCGUAGCUGGCUGCGCAAGUCCGUCGGGAAAUCCACCCGCCCAACGGGUGGGCGUCCGGUAGAAACUGGCCGGCUUGGAACCGGAAGGCUCAGAGAGUACGUCCGGGGUAGGAGUGAAAUCCCGUAAUCCCGGACGGACUACCGAUGGCGAAAGCACUCUGAGAAGACGGCUUCGACAGUGAGGGACGAAAGCUCGGGUCUCAAACCGGAUUAGAAACCCGGGUAGUCC